AUGAACGCUGGCGGCGUGCCUCAUACAUGCAAGUCGAGCGAACAGACGAGGAGCUUGCUCCUCUGACGUUAGCGGCGGACGGGUGAGUAACACGUGGAUAACCUACCUAUAAGACUGGGAUAACUUCGGGAAACCGGAGCUAAUACCGGAUAAUAUAUUGAACCGCAUGGUUCAAUAGUGAAAGACGGUUUUGCUGUCACUUAUAGAUGGAUCCGCGCCGCAUUAGCUAGUUGGUAAGGUAACGGCUUACCAAGGCGACGAUGCGUAGCCGACCUGAGAGGGUGAUCGGCCACACUGGAACUGAGACACGGUCCAGACUCCUACGGGAGGCAGCAGUAGGGAAUCUUCCGCAAUGGGCGAAAGCCUGACGGAGCAACGCCGCGUGAGUGAUGAAGGUCUUCGGAUCGUAAAACUCCGUUAUUAGGGAAGAACAAAUGUGUAAGUAACUAUGCACGUCUUGACGGUACCUAAUCAGAAAGCCACGGCUAACUACGUG
rnacentral:rRNA from 1 species